GAUGAACGCUGGCGGCGUGCCUAAUACAUGCAAGUCGAGCGAACAGACGAGGAGCUUGCUCCUCUGACGUUAGCGGCGGACGGGUGAGUAACACGUGGAUAACCUACCUAUAAGACUGGGAUAACUUCGGGAAACCGGAGCUAAUACCGGAUAAUAUAUUGAACCGCAUGGUUCAAUAGUGAAAGACGGUUUUGCUGUCACUUAUAGAUGGAUCCGCGCCGCAUUAGCUAGUUGGUAAGGUAACGGCUUACCAAGGCAACGAUGCGUAGCCGACCUGAGAGGGUGGUCGGCCACACUGGAACUGAGACACGGUCCAGACUCCUACGGGAGGCAGCAGUAGGGAAUCUUCCGCCAUGGGCGAAAGCCUGACGGAGCAACGCCGCGUGAGUGAUGAAGGUCUUCGGAUCGUAAAACUCUGUUAUUAGGGAAGAACAAAUGUGUAAGUAACUAUGCACGUCUUGACGGUACCUAAUCAGAAAGCCACGGCUAACUACGUG
rnacentral:rRNA from 1 species